rnacentral:rRNA from 1 species
AUACGGAGGGGACUAGCGUUGUUCGGAAUUACUGGGCGUAAAGAGUUCGUAGGCGGACUGAUAAGUAAGAGGUGAAAUCCCAGGGCUCAACCCUGGAACUGCCUUUUAAACUGUCAGUCUAGAGACCGGAAGAGGUUAGGGGAAUACCUAGUGUAGAGGUGAAAUUCGUAGAUAUUGGGUGGAACACCAGUGGCGAAGGCGCCUAACUGGUCCGGUACUGACGCUGAGGAACGAAAGCGUGGGGAGCAAACAGGAUUAGAAACCCUAGUAGUCC